rfam:Camelus ferus unplaced genomic scaffold scaffold875, whole genome shotgun sequence.
GACGGUAUAGCUCAGCAGUAGAGCAUGUGCUUAGCAUGCACAAGGUCCUAGGUUCAAUCCCCAGUACCUCCA